rnacentral:rRNA from 1 species
UACGAAGGGGGCUAGCGUUGCUCGGAAUCACUGGGCGUAAAGCGUGCGCAGGCGGUUGUGCAAGACAGAUGUGAAAUCCCCGGGCUUAACCUGGGAAUUGCAUUUGUGACUGUACGGCUAGAGUGCGGCAGAGGGGGGAUGGAAUUCCGCGUGUAGCAGUGAAAUGCGUAGAUAUGCGGAGGAACACCGAUGGCGAAGGCAAUCCCCUGGGCCUGCACUGACGCUCAUGCACGAAAGCGUGGGGAGCAAACAGG